UUUGACAUGUGUUAACCAACUACCGCUGUGUUUUCUUACUAGAACGUGUUUCUGGAGCGGAGGCGAGUUGGUAGGGGAGCCGGGAAUCUGGAGGAUGACCAUCACUCUACCAACAAGGUUUACCAGGACUCCGGCUGAGGAGAGCUGAUGGAUGAGCCAAGACUCUGGAGGACGACAUCACUCUACCAACCAGGAUCCUAACCAGGAAUCUGGAGGACUGAUGGAGAAGCCGUACAUCUGGAAGGCAAAUCCUGAGGACAACCAGGACUCUACCAUCAAGGAUUCCUCAUAAGUUUGCAUUAUCUGGACAAAGUGGACUAGAAACAUCUGAGCCGAACCUCGCCUGAUCCUGACAUCCUGCUGGUCCCGUCUCCUCAGUUCAUCUGAGCCUCGUCCUCCAGAAGACCUGCUGAGCUCAGCAGUCUGAGGCGGAUGGAUCAAUGACCUCCAGUGGGAGUGAUCUUCUUGACCCCACAUGUAACCGUGUGCUUCCACACACCUUUCCCUCACGUCUGUCACUACUUCACUACUGCUUCCUCUUUUCUUCCUUCUCUGUGGUUCGAACCUUUACACGGAAGGCGCGUCUUCCUGCCCUCAGAGGGUUCAGCGUUAGGGUUGAGAGACAGGGUUUAGAGUCAGGGACAGAGCUGGUCAGGGAGGACUGCUUUUACACAAACCUCUUCACUUGCUUUCGGAAUGGUGGUGACAUUUGGGAAAAUGUUUUCCUCUGCGUUCCUUUACAAAAUUGUAUCAAACUUCUGUCAAGUGUUUUUGUUUACAUAUUAAAAUCCCACAUUGAAUUCUA